GCGUUAAUCGGAAUUACUGGGCGUAAAGCGUGCGCAGGCGGUUUGCUAAGACAGGUGUGAAAGCCCCGGGCUUAACCUGGGAAUUGCGCUUGUGACUGGCAGACUGGAGUGUGGCAGAGGGAGGUGGAAUUCCACGUGUAGCAGUGAAAUGCGUAGAGAUGUGGAGGAACACCGAUGGCGAAGGCAGCCUCCUGGGCCAGCACUGACGCUCAUGCACGAAAGCGUG
rnacentral:rRNA from 1 species